CAGUGCUGAGCUUCAUCUUCUCAGCUUUCAAACCUUAAUAGAAUUUUUUACACAUUUUUUCAGUGAUAGCUGUGUCCUAUAUCAUUUUUUCUUUGUGCAUACAUAGUACCUGGCAGAAUGUAUGUUCACUUUAAACAGCUGUGUUUAUGUCACGGUAUGCCAGAUUUGCAGGCUUUUCAGCAGAGGUUGAGUAGACCUAUGGCUACUGUCCUCUGCCUAAGGAGAUUCACUGAAUGAGUCAAACUCUUACUGUAUCUGCUUUUUUUAUUAUUUUGGGUGUUAGCUGAAGCAGGCUUGGGUGGAGGACCUAUUGCUGGCAUUGUUAUCGGCAUCAUCGCCUUGAUUGUCCUGGUCGUCGUUCUCGUCUACUUCCUUUGGUACAGACGCAGAGACAGCGGCGAGUCUUACAACACCAGGGAAGCAGACGGAAGGAAUGGGCCUCCACCAGUGGCCAAGAAACCAGAGAUGCAUGAGAACAGUAUGUACGACACAACAGGAGAUAACCAGGAUAACAACUAUUACGGCCGCAGUGACAGGUACAAUUCAGGGAAAGUCAACAGAGGUAUGGAGGAUGAUUACUAUCACCAUGACAACGACGCCACACCAAGAAGCCGGGACCCCAUUGGCUCCUCUGUGUAGAGUCCUAACCAACCACAGCUCAGCUUUCAUGUACCACUCCACAUCCAUGGGCUGUGCUUCAUAUCAUCUGAAUAAGCUUAAUUGUGUGCAGUCACAUUCAUGUGUAGAUCUAUUUUGUAGGUUAUUUGCAAAGAUUUUUUUGGUAUUACAGGGGGUCAGCAUAUUGUGAAACUGCGUUUCUUGGGUUACAGAACUUUACAUUGAUUUUUUCUUGAAAAUUAUCCUGUGGGAGGCUGAAAAGCCAGGAGAAAAUUAAGCUGACAAAUGUUGAAAAAUCACACUGAAAAAUGUCAAGGUGUUGUAACAGAGUACUGAUGAUACAGAUUUCUGAAAUGGCACAUUGUGUCCCCUAUAGGGAAUUAUCAGUACAGUUGAUUUUACCAGCUAGCUGUGAACUAUUAGAAAAUGUCUCAGCUCUUUGUAUGUCUGAGUUAAAUGAGAAAUUCCUGUUAAAUGUGAUUGUAUACUUUUCAUGUACAUGUACGUGUAGAUAGGCUGGGAUUGUGUGUAGCUUCUGUGGAGGUAGUCCAUGUUUUGGAUGAUAAACACAAUGGGAUUUGUUCAGAACAACACUGAUUUAUGCAGGUGAAGUGCUCUUAUUUCCUAACCGUCCUUAUGUUGUGACUUUUGUGGAGGCUAGGUGUAUGCUGUGUUUUUGACGCACCUGUCAGGUUAAUCAGGGAGGAACUUGGCCGUUAUUGCACCUGAUCUGUCUGUUAUGGGAUGUACCUAUGCACAGUUACAUCAGUUACAGGUGCGUAGGCAGCUUACUGUGGUGAAGGAGCUUAUUGUCACAGUAGUUGGCGCCAAUGUUGUACACAAGACAUCACAACAAAGUACGUGUAUAUGUGUAUGUCCAGCAGUAAUCUUAAAUAUUAAUUGUAUAGCUUGGCUCAAAACUGAUAAUUGAGAGUGGUAAAAUUGACAAAUGUGGAGUUUGCAAAAAAAUUAUAUUUCCAUGCAUCUCUUUCAAUGUUUUAU